rnacentral:sRNA from 1 species
ACUUAGCCCAGAGCUCAGAGGCUGGAAAAGUUGGGGGGAGUAUCGUGGCGCGCAGUAUGAGUUGAAGGACAGCCCCGGGGUGCAGCAUCCGGCCGCGGCUGCUGCGUUUCCGCACCCGCACCCCGCCUUCUACCCGUAUGGCCAGUACCAGUUCGGGGACCCGUCCCGUCCCAAGAACGCCACCAGGGAGAGCACCAGCACGCUCAAGGCCUGGCUCAACGAGCACCGCAAGAAUCCCUACCCCACCAAGGGCGAGAAGAUCAUGCUGGCCAUCAUCACCAAGAUGACCCUCACCCAGGUGUCCACCUGGUUCGCCAACGCUCGCCGGCGCCUCAAGAAAGAGAAUAAGAUGACUUGGGCGCCUCGCAGCCGCACUGACGAGGAGGGAAACGCUUAUGGGAGCGAGCGCGAGGAGGAAGACGAAGAGGAGGACGAGGAGGACGGCAAACGCGAGCUAGAGCUAGAGGAGGAGGAGCUCGGGGGGGAGGAGGAGGACACGGGGGGCGAGGGCCUGGCUGACGACGACGAGGACGAGGAGAUCGAUUUGGAGAACUUAGACGGCGCGGCCACCGGGCCUGAGCUGUCCCUGGCUGGGGCGGCGCGCAGGGAUGGCGACCUAGGCCUGGGACCCAUUUCGGACUCCAAAAAUAGCGACUCGGAAGAUAGCUCUGAGGGCUUAGAGGACCGGCCACUACCGGUCCUGAGUCUGGCUCCAGCGCCACCACCGGUGGCAGUGGCCUCGCCGUCUCCGCCCUCGCCCCCUGUGGGCCUGGACCCCUGCGCUCCCGCACCAACCCCCGCCUCCGCCCUGCAGAAGCCCAAGAUCUGGUCCCUCGCAGAGACUGCCACAAGCCCGGACAACCCGCGCCGCUCGCCUCCCGGCGCGGGGGGGUCUCCACCGGGGGCAGCGGUCGCGCCUUCCGCCCUGCAGCUCUCUCCGGCCGCCGCCUCCGCCGCUCACAGACUGGUUUCAGCGCCGCUGGGCAAGUUCCCGGCUUGGACCAACCGGCCGUUUCCAGGCCCACCGCCCGGCCCCCACCCGCACCCGCUCUCCCUGCUGGGCUCUGCCCCUCCGCACCUGCUGGGACUUCCCGGAGCCGCGGGCCACCCGGCUGCCGCCGCCGCCUUCGCUCGGCCCGCGGAGCCCGAAGGCGGAACAGGUGACUGCUGAGCGCGGGGCGCGGAGCGGGGGCGGGCUCUGCGGGUAGUGCCGGAGCUGGCCGGGAGGGGCAGGGCCCGGGGGGCGCAGGGCACUUCCCUCUCGGCUCCUGCUUUCUGCGGCCCUGGGCGCCGGAACCGAGCUCUCUAAAGGCCCUCCUUUUUCUUCCCCCGCUUCCCUUAGAUCGCUGUAGUGCCUUGGAAGUGGAGAAAAAGUUACUCAAGACAGCUUUCCAGCCCGUGCCCAGGCGGUAAGAGACCCCGAUGUUGGGGGGCCGGGGGGACUGGCUGGCGGGGAAAGGAGAGAACGCCGAGCACCACGCACGGCCUUUUGCCCCGGGGUAGGGGGGAACCCUGCUGGGACGCAUUUUGUAAAA